rnacentral:rRNA from 1 species
ACUCAAAGGAAUUGACGGGGGCCCGCACAAGCGGUGGAGCAUGUGGUUCAAUUCGAUGCAACGCGAAGAACCUUACCGGGGUUUGAACUGUGGGGGAAAGACGCUGAGAGGCGUAACCCUAGCAAUAGGCCGCCACAGAGGUGCUGCAUGGCUGUCGUCAGCUCGUGUCGUGAGAUGUUGGGUUAAGUCCCGCAACGAGCGCAACCCUUGCUUUUAGUUGCUCAUCUGUCGUAAGACAGUUAGCACUCUAAAAAGGACUGCUGGUGAUAAACCGGAGGAAGGUGGGGAUGACGUCAAGUCAUCAUGGCCUUUAUGUCCCGGGCUACACACGUGCUACAAUGGCUGGUACAAAGGGUCGCAAAGUCGCAAGGCGGAGCCAAUCCCAGAAAACCAGCCUCAGUUCGGAUUGCACUCUGCAACUCGAGUGCAUGAAGGUGGAAUCGCUAGUAAUCGCGGAUCAGCACGCCGCGGUGAAUACGUUUCCGGGCCUUGUACACACCGCCCGU